UACGUAGGGGGCGAGCGUUGUCCGGAUUCAUUGGGCGUAAAGGGCUCGUAGGCGGUUUGGUAAGUCGGGUGUGAAAACCCCAGGCUCAACCUGGGGACGCCACCUGAUACUGCUAUGACUUGAGUCUGGUAGGGGAUCACGGAAUUCCUGGUGUAGCGGUGAAAUGCGCAGAUAUCAGGAGGAACACCGGUGGCGAAGGCGGUGAUCUGGGCCAGUACUGACGCUGAGGAGCGAAAGCGUGGGUAGCAAACAGG
rnacentral:rRNA from 1 species